UAGGAAUCUACCUUAUAGUGGGGGAUAACCUGGGGAAACCCAGGCUAAUACCGCAUGUUUCUCAAGAGAUAAAGAAGGGGACCUUCGGGCCUUGCGCUAUAAGAUGAGCCUGCGUCGGAUUAGCUAGUUGGUGGGGUAAAGGCCUACCAGGGCGAUGAUCCGUAGCUGGUCUGAGAGGACGACCAGCCACACUGGGACUGAGACACGGCCCAGACUCCUACGGGAGGCAG
rnacentral:rRNA from 1 species